UCACAUGAUCCUUCAGAAAUCAUUCUUACAUGCUGAUUUGCUGCUGUUAUUAUCAAUUGUUACUGGUGCUCAAUUAAUUACUAAUAAUGAAUUUAUACUAUAA